ACGCGAAAGCCCCGCAAGGGGUUAGUAGAGUGGCAAACGGGUGAGUAACACGUGGGUGAUCUGCCUCAGAGUGGGGGAUAACGACCCGAAAGGGUCGCUAAUACCGCAUAACAUCCUGCCUUUGGAUAGGUGGAGAUCAAAGUUGGGGAUCCGCAAGGACCUGACGCUUGGAGAGGAGCCCGCGGCCGAUUAGCUAGUUGGUGAGGUAACGGUCACCAAGGCAACGAUCGGUAUCCGGCCUGAGAGGGCGGACGGACACACUGGGACUGAGACACGGGCCAGAACUCCUACGGGAGGCAGCAGUGGGGGAAUUGUCCCGCAUUGGGGCGCAAGCCUGGACGACGCAACGCCGCGUGGAGGACGAAGAUUUCGGAUCGUAAACUCCUUUCGAUCGGGAAGAACAGCUUUUGGGUUAAUAGCCUGAGAGUCUGACGGUACCGAGAGAAGAAGCCCCGGCUAACUCUGUGCCAGCAGCCGCGGUAAUACAGGGGGGGCAAGCGUUGUUCGGAAUUACUGGGCGUAAAGGGGUAGUAGGCGGCCAACUAAGUCCGACGUGAAAUCCCAAGGCUUAACCUUGGAACUGCGUCGGAUACUGGAUGGCUUGAAUUCGGGAGAGGGAUGCAGAAUUCCAGGUGUAAGCGGUGAAAUGCGUAGAUAUCUGGAGGAAUACCGGUGGCGAAGGCGGAUCCUGGACCGACUUGACGCUGAAUACCGGAAAAGCUAAGGGGGAGCAAA
rnacentral:rRNA from 1 species